GUUUUUUUUUUUUUUUUCUAGUUUUUUGAUUUUUUUUUCAGGAUCUGAAGGAUUGAAAGAUAACUGAGCAGGAAUGGCCUUUCUUUCUUUCUUUGUUAUUGAACAAAGACGGUCAUUGUAGUACCCGUCAUGUUCAAGUCCAUCCCCUGGGACACACGGGUGAGGAUUUUAGUGUUCAGUGCCAGGAGCAGAUCUGCCUGGUGCAUGGAUGGUGCUUCUGGCCAUAGGGUAGAGGAUGGAGAGACCGCAUGGAGUCAGGGAGACCUGGAAUGGGCCUGUCACUGUCGUCCAGGUGAAUGAGUGGCACAGUCAAAGGCAGGAUUCUAACCCUCGUCUCCUGCUUCUGUCCACUGCAGCAUGCCUACUGUCUGUCCACCAAAGACCCUGCUGUGGUGGGGACAGCCCCAGCCCUGCGCCUCCUCCUCACGCCCUCUGGCCUUGGUCAGAAUCUCUCUCAGCUCUGGCUCCUGGCUCAGACGGCCUCUGACUUGCAGACUCCUGCCUCCAGGCCUCGCACGCAGCUACUUGCCCAGAAAAACUGAUGCUCACCCCCUGGGGCCCUGGACGCAGAGGGAUUCUUCUUGGUUCUACAAGGCAGGGGGUACACAGGCCCUCAGGAUCACAGGGUGGCAUUCUGAGGAAUAUUUGAAAGUACACAUGUUUUUGUAAGCUUCUGUUUAGAACGGCCAAUAAGACAAUCUCGGUGAUGUGCAGAGUGCAAAGGUAUGUGAUUCACACACACGCGCACACACACCCACACAAACUCUUAAUCACAGAAACCGUUUGUGUUAUGCAUGCUUGAUUGGCCAAGUAUGCCCACAGCUGGCUGUUUUCUGAAGCCCAUGGAGCUAAAGUGAGUGGAAAGCCAUCCCCGGCCAUGUUUCGUGGGCACAACAUGUUUCCACAAGACAAGGCUUAUAGCCCAGCAGUCCCAGAUUUCGCCUGUGGCUAGAUCUGGGCACAGAAUGGAGAUGAUGUCAUUAGAGCUUCACGUUCUUUCAUCUAAUUAGCCGAGAGUUAAUUAGUAUUUCCAAAGGGCUUUGAAGAUGAGGAGCACUGUUUAUUCACAGUUGGGGUGGUGGCAAGCCUGGAGAGGUAAUGCAAGAAGCUGACAUUAGAAUGAGAAGACGGGGCUGAUGCUGCCACCUCUGCCUGGCUGCGAGGCUGUUGUGAGACAUUUGUGAAAGUGUCUGUAUGAGUUUGCUAGGGUAGCUGGAACAAAGUACCACAAAUUGGGGGGCUGGAAACAACAGAAAUGAAUUAUCUCCCAGUUCUGGGGCCGGUAGUCUAAGAAUAAGGUAUCAUUAGGGCCAUGCUCCUUCAGGAGCCUCUAGAGGAGGAUCCUUGUCUCCUCCAGCUUCUGGUAGCCCCAGGUGUUCUUGGCUUGUGGCUGCAUCACUCCAGUCUCUGC
rnacentral:lncRNA from 1 species